GGAGUGUUCGCAUAAUGGUAUUGCAGGUGGCUGUAACCCACCCGGUUCCGAGAGGGCCAUUCUAGGUUCGAAUCCUAGGCACUCCACCA
rnacentral:tRNA from 1 species